rnacentral:misc_RNA from 1 species
AAGAUGUAGGACCAAGCCAAUCCAUUUUUUGGGUUAUGGAAAAAACAGCACUGCAAAUCAUAUUACUUCAACUCACAAGAAGCCUUCGUAGAACAGCAUUAUCAGAGACCCCAACAGGAUUCUUUUCAGCUGCACAAUCACCAAUAUCCAUAGCUUUAGUAUUAUCCACAUUUUCCUUUUCCUUCGCUUUGUCCUCCGGAAACAUGUCCCUACAGAAGCUUUUGAAACCCUUGUCAAUUCCACCUGACACCAUUUCAAUAUUCGUCAAAAUCUCAGCUUCUUCCUCUUCAAUGACAUUGGAACAUGAUGCCGGUAUCAUAGCCUUCUCUACGAUUUUCAAGCUGCGAUCCUCGUUAGACUCCGCUUCUUCGUUAACGCUGCGCAUUAAACUGGAUUCAGAAUUCAAUCCUACUGAUUUCUCCUUCUUUUCCUGCUUAUCCAUCAGGCAGAUUUCUCGUUUUCUUACUGCUAAU